rnacentral:misc_RNA from 1 species
GAGAAUUUUCAAGAUGGCUACGAUCGGUCUUCUACGGGCUUGCAGGGGAAAAGGAUGUUUAUUUGUAAAGAACAGCAUGUUUCAACAGACACUUCCUACCAGUCUUCAGAACAGUCUUGUCACCAAACAUUUCUCCCUGACCUCAGUGGCGAGUAGUAAUGCUGUAGUUGAAUUCUUCAGAGCCAGAAAUUUUAGAGCAAAGAGAGGUCCAUUUAGACCAGAGGAAAAAAGAGGUGACCACAAGAUGAUGGCGUCUACCCACUGGAAGAUUGAGCGAGGUACUGACUGACUAUUUAGAGAAAUUUGUUCCUUGGAUUCACUAUCCCUGGUAUCUACUGACCAUUGCUGGACUGGCAGGACUUAUAUAUUUCAAUUACAAUGAUGUCGGAGUGUGUGAAGCCAUUAAGAUGGUGUGGAAAUUGUAAAUCUUAAAAGAUAGACAUUGCUUUUGCUUGUUCUUGUUUCUAUUGUAAAUCCCAGGAAAGGAGAAGUGUAUAAUAGAAACUUCUAGUACUGUAAGAAAACUGUACAAAAUUUGCUGUACUUUUGUCACCAAGAUAGCUCUGAUUAUAUCAGAACUUCUGUUCCUGCAAUUUGUUAUACCCCUAACAUUGGAAAUCCUUACAGCUGUGAAAAAGUAAAAUGAAUAGAUAAACGGUUUAUGGAUAUGUGUGCCAUUUUGUUUCAAAUUGAAAGUUGAACUCACUGAGUUCAAGUAGGACAUCUCGGAUCAUUUUCCCAAAAAGUUCUGCUUUAUUGUGCUAUUAUGAAUAAUUUUAAUAUGUUUGAAUGCAUCCUCCAAUACCUGGACUUUAGACCUAGUGUUUAACAUCUGUUGAUACCAACAAUAAUGUGUACAUGUGGAUAUGGAUGCCGUAUACAUGUAUGUCAUAUAAUGGUAAAAUUUGUUUCUAUGAAUCUGCAGUUUUCAGUAAUAUAUAAGAGAGACUUUUUAACUUUGCUUGAAGUAUUACGGACAUACAAUUAUUUAAUAAAUAUUAAUAUAUAUAU